AUUGAACGCUGGCGGCAUGCCUUACACAUGCAAGUCGAACGGUAACGGGCCUUCGGGUGCCGACGAGUGGCGAACGGGUGAGUAAUGUAUCGGAACGCACCUUUCAGUGGGGGAUAACGUAGCGAAAGUUACGCUAAUACCGCAUAUUCUGUGAGCAGGAAAGCAGGGGAUCGCAAGACCUUGCGCUGAUUGAGCGGCCGAUAUCAGAUUAGCUAGUUGGUGAGGUAAAGGCUCACCAAGGCGACGAUCUGUAGCGGGUCUGAGAGGAUGAUCCGCCACACUGGAACUGAGACACGGUCCAGACUCCUACGGGAGGCAGCAGUGGGGAAUUUUGGACAAUGGGCGAAAGCCUGAUCCAGCAAUGCCGCGUGAGUGAAGAAGGCCUUCGGGUUGUAAAGCUCUUUUGUUUGGGAAGAAAUCCUAACGGAUAAUACCUGUUGGGGAUGACGGUACCAAAAGAAUAAGCACCGGCUAACUACGUGCCAGCCGCCGCAGUAAAAC
rnacentral:rRNA from 1 species